UAAAGUGGCGACCGGGUGAGUAACACGUGGGCAACCUGCCCUCAGCUCUGGGAUAACUCCGGGAAACCGGGGCUAAUACCGGAUACGACUUCCUGCGGCAUCUUGGGAAGUGGAAAGUUUUUCGGCUGAGGAUGGGCCCGCGGCCUAUCAGCUUGUUGGUGGGGUAAUGGCCCACCAAGGCGACGACGGGUAGCCGGCCUGAGAGGGCGACCGGCCACACUGGGACUGAGACACGGCCCAG
rnacentral:rRNA from 1 species